CAUUCUCCAAACCCAUCAUCCACGACUUCAACUUCUUCCUCUUUAUUUUUGGAGACGAGUGGAACUGCCUUGUUGUUGAGGCUAGCCACAAGUUUCUUAGGUGCCGCCGAGGGUGACUUAGUUUGUUUUCCGGGCGAGGCACGGCGGCGUACAUGGUUGGCUUUGGCACAUAGAGUUACAAGGGUAGAGACUGAGACGAACAAGGCGAUUGCUAGCGGCAUUAAGGCGAAGUUGUUGGCUGCAACCUCUCGUAUUGGACGAACCAUGUUGUGAAAUAUAAUUGAUUAUAUUCAGAUUCAAGGUGGAGAUGAAAAAAAAUGAAAGAACCGACAUAGCUUUUCGUGUCGAUUCCCACAGAUGGUGCCAAAUGUUGAUGAACAAAACUGGAGGUCUUGGAACAACGUAAAUCCGACCGUGAAUCUGCAAGAAAGUAAAUAACACAAGAUGUAUCGUGGUUCACCCCAAUGUUUGGGCUACGUCUACACUGAUAUUGUAUUUCCCUGAGAGGAUUGUGAGGAAGAGAGCCUCUGUAAUGUGAGUGAGGCUUUGAAAGGGUGAGGGGGCUUGCUCUGAAUAUGAGAGCCUCCCCUAAUUGUGAGGGUAAGGAGUCCCUUUUAUAGAAUAAUGGCUCCUCACUUAUUACAUAUUUGCCUCUUCCUUUAUUACAUAAUUACAUUUAAGUCCCCCGAGUAUUUAUACAAGAUCUAAAUACGGAGGCCCUAAGUGUGGUACAAACAGAACCCACACUGUCACACAAAAGCUCAACACAUUUCCACUACUAUGGUAAAGGGCCACUUGCAAGUAUUAACUAAUUUAUUGCUAUUUUUAUGGAAUCUCAUCCCUUUCUCAAUUUAAGGAUUCAAUUAUAUGUGCCACUUAGUACUAUGGUCUAGUGAUAUUCCUCUUCACUUGUAAGUGAGAGGUCUUAAGUUUGAUUCUCGUCAAAUGUGAGUUUGAACCAUAUUAUUGCUAGCACAUUGUGAGGCUAAGCUCACCCCCUCCCCUUAGUGUAGAUAAUAUCAUUUGUUAAAAAAAAAAUUAAAAGCAAAUAUAUCUAGUGGGAUGAAGAUUAAAUGGAUGGAAUAUAAUUUUUUUAAGGGUCCUUAUAACAAAUAGACCUUCACCAUUAUGAUAGUCCCUGAAACUGAAAAUCGAUCAAUGUAGUUCCUAAAAAUAGGUGUCAAAAAUCAAUAGGGUCAUUCCGUCACAAUUUUGUUAAGUGCUGAUGUGACGUAUAAAUGGGCCACAUAAGUCUUUUUUUUUUAAUCACAAAUGGUUCCUGAAACUGACUCGCGACACCAAAAUGAUCCCUAAAAUUGACCCGCGACACUAAAAUGGUUCUUGCAAUUAAAAAUGAUUAAUGUAGUCCCACAUAAAAUUAAAAAUCAAUGAAUGUAAUCUCGUAAUUAAGUGUCUCAAAUCAAUAUGUAGUCCUUCUGUCACAAUUCUGUCAAAAUUUUUAUCAUGUGCUGGAGUGACACAUAAAUGGGUCACACAAGUUUAAUUAAAUUAAAAAAAAAUCAAAUAGGUUUAAUAAUUUAAUAAUUAAUAAAAAAAAAAGUUGUCAACUCCAAAAUCUAGUCCUGCAAUCACCUAUGAUCCCAGCCCACACUCCUCUACCUCCAUUUAUGAUAGCCUUCGCUGUCUCUUCUCUAGCAAUCAAUACACCCAUCUUUACACAUUUCAACACCCUUCAUUAAAUUGGACUUGAAUCAAGAUCACCUUUGGUGAUGGCUUGGAUUGGUGAUGACUUAUGUGACAUUACCGUUAGCAUUUAGACGAUCAACAUCCUCACAACCAUAAUCUUGAAGAGCUUGUUGGGCGCUCCCUUGGUGGUAUGUUGACCCAGAGAACGGCAAAGUCUACCUUGAAAUAAUGAGGUUCUAACUGAAGUGCGUCUAUUAUUGGUUGAAAACUAUUUCUGAACCCCUCUUAGGCCUUGGUUGAGCCUUGUGCCUUUGAGAAUUUCUGAAAUGGCUCUCUUCGGAGUAGGCCCUACUAUAAAAAAAAAAAAUCCAUUGUACAAAAGGGUAUUUAGACAACUUUUUUUUAAAUUAAUUAUUAAAUUAUUAAACUCACAUUAGAUAAUAACAAUUUUUUUUACAUUAUUAUGGCGAAAGGACCAUAUUAAUUGUGACACCUAUUUUCGGUGACUACAUUGGUCGAUUUUCAAUUUCAGGAACCAUCUUGAUGGUGUGGGUCAAUUUCAGAGACCAUUUGUG
rnacentral:lncRNA from 1 species